GACGAACGCUGGCGGCGUGCUUAACACAUGCAAGUCGAACGGAAAGGCCCUGCUUUUGUGGGGUGCUCGAGUGGCGAACGGGUGAGUAACACGUGAGUAACCUGCCCUUGACUUUGGGAUAACUUCAGGAAACUGGGGCUAAUACCGGAUAGGAGCUCCUGCUGCAUGGUGGGGGUUGGAAAGUUUCGGCGGUUGGGGAUGGACGCGCGGCUUAUCAGCUUGUUGGUGGGGUAGUGGCUUACCAAGGCUGUGACGGGUAGCCGGCCUGAGAGGGUGACCGGCCACAUGGGGACUGCGGUACGGCCCAGACUCCUACGGGGGGCAGCAGUGGGGAAUAUUGCACAGUGGGCGGGAGCCUGAUGCAGCAGCGCCGCGGGCGGGAUGACGGCCUUCGGGUUGUAAACCGCUUUCGCCUGUGACGAAGCGUGAGUGACGGUAAUGGGUAAAGAAGCACCGGCUAACUACGUG
rnacentral:rRNA from 1 species